rnacentral:rRNA from 1 species
UACGAAGGGGGCUAGCGUUGCUCGGAAUCACUGGGCGUAAAGGGUGCGUAGGCGGGUCUUUAAGUCAGGGGUGAAAUCCUGAAGCUCAACUCCAGAACUGCCUUUGAUACUGAAGAUCUUGAGUUCGGGAGAGGUGAGUGGAACUGCGAGUGUAGAGGUGAAAUUCGUAGAUAUUCGCAAGAACACCAGUGGCGAAGGCGGCUCACUGGCCCGAUACUGACGCUGAGGCACGAAAGCGUGGGGAGCAAACAGG